AGCAGCCGCGGUAAUUCCAGCUCCAAUAGCGUAUAUUAAAGUUGUUGCAGUUAAAAAGCUCGUAGUUGAAUUUUGGAUUCUGCCAAUUGGUCCAUCUUUUAGAUGAGUACUGGUUGUGUGGGGUCUAUCCGCCUGGUGAUACGUAAUGUCCUUUAUUGGAUGUUGCGGGUAGUCAGGACCUUUACCUUGAAAAAAUUAGAGUGUUUAAAGCAGGCUUAUGCCGGAAUACAUUAGCAUGGAAUAAUAGAAUAGGACGAAGUUGUUUUAUUUUGUUGGUUUCUAGGACAACCGUAAUGAUUAAUAGGGAUAGUUGGGGGCAUUAGUAUUCAAUUGUCAGAGGUGAAAUUCUUGGAUUUAUUGAAGACUAACUACUGCGAAAGCAUUUGCCAAGGAUGUUUUCAUUAAUCAAGAACGAAAGUUAGGGGGUCGAAGACGAUCAGAUACCGUCGUAGUCUUAACCAUAAACUAUGCCGACUAGGGAUCGGGCGAUGUUGUUUCCAUGACUCGCUCGGCACCUUAU
rnacentral:misc_RNA from 1 species